GUGCAGUAUGUUGGUAUAGUAUAGUGGGAUGCCGUAUGUUAUUAUGGUAUAGUGGGGUGCAGUAUGUUAUUAUAGUAUAGUGGGGUGCAGUUUGUUAUUAUAGAACAGUGGGGUGCAGUAUGUUUUUACAAAACAGUGGGGUGCAGAAUGUUAUUAUAGUAUAGUGGGGUGCAGUAUGUUAUUAUAUUAUAGCGGGGUGCAGUAUGUUAUUAUAUUAUAGAGGGGGUGCAGAAUGGUAUUAUAGUAUAGUGGGGUGCAGUAUGGUAUUAUAUUAUAGCGGGGUGCAUUAUGUUAUUAUAUUAUAGAGGGGGUGCAGAAUGGUAUUAUAGUAUAGUGGGGUGCAGAAUGGUAUUAUAGUAUAGUGGGGUGCAGUAUGUUAUUAUAGUAUAGUGGGGGUGCAGUAUGGUAUUAUAGUAUAGUGGGGUGCAGUUUGUAUUAUAGUAUAGUGGGGUGCAGUAUGUUUAUAGUAUAGUGGGGUGCAGUUGUUAUUAUAGUAUAGUGGGGGUGGUAUGUUAUUAUAGUAUAGUGGGGUGCAGUAUGGUAUUAUAGUAUAAUUAGGGGUGCAGUAUGGUAUUAUAGUAUAGUGGGGUGCAGUAUGGUAUUAUAGUAUAGUGGGGUGCAGUAUGGUAUUAUAGUAUAAUGGGGUGCAGUAUAGUAUUAUAGUAUAAUGGGGUGCAGUAUGUUGGUAUAGUAUAGUGGGGUGCAGUAUGGUAUUAUAGUAUAGUGGGGUGCAGUAUGGUAUUAUAGUAUAAUGGGGUGCAGUAUGUUGGUAGUAUAGUAUAAUUGGGGUGCAGUAUGGUAUUAUAGCUGUAGAAUUUGUAUAUUUGGUAUAGUAUAGUAGAGUGCAGUAUGUGUAUAGUAUAGUAGGUACAGUAGUAUUAUAAGUAGAAUAGUAGAGGGUGCAGUAUAGGUAUUAUAGUAUAGUAGAGGUGCAGUUUAUUUAUUAUAGUAUAGUUGGUGCAGUAUGGUAUUAUAGUAUAAUAGUGGGGUGUAUGUUGGUAUAGUGUAGUGGGUGCAGUUUGUUUUAUAGUAUAGUGGGGUGCAGUAUGGUAUUAUAGUAUAGUGGGGUGCAGUUUGUUAUUAUAGUAUAGUGGGGUGCAGUAUGUUGGUAUAGUGUAGUGGGGUGCAGUUUGUUUUAUAGUAUAGUGGGGUGCAGUAUAGUAUUAUAGUAUAGUGGGGUGCAGUUUGUUAUUAUAGUAUAGUGGGGUGCAGUAUGUUGGUACAGUGUAGUGGGGUGCAGUUUGUUUUAUAGUAUAGUGGGGUACAGUAUGGUAUUAUAGUAUAGUGGGGUGCAGUAUGUUGGUAUAGUGUAGUGGGGUGCAGUUUGUUUUAUAGUAUAGUGGGGUGCAGUAUGUUAUUAUAGUAUAGUGGGGGUGCAUUAUGGUAUUAUAGUAUAGUGGGGUGCAGUAUGUUAUUAUAGUAUAGUGGGGGUGCAGUAUGGUAUUAUAGUAUAGUGGGGUGCAGUGUGUUAUUAUAGUAUAGUGGGGGUGCAGUAUGGUAUUAUAGUAUAGUGGGGUGCAGUAUGUUAUUAUAUUAAAGCGGGGUGCAGUAUGUUAUUAUAUUAUAGAGGGGGUGCAGUAUGUUGGUAUAGAAUAGUGGGGUGCAGUUUGUUUUAUAGUAUAGUGGGGUGCAGUUUGUUAUUAUAGUAUAGUGGGGUGCAGUAUGUUGGUAUAGUGUAGUGGGGUGCAGUAUGGUAUUAUAGUAUAGUGGGGUGCAGUAUGGUAUUAUAGUAUAGUGGGGUGCAGUAUGUUGGUAUAGUGAAGUGGGGUGCAGUUUGUUUUAUAGUAUAGUGGGGUGCAGUAUGGUAUUAUAGUAUAGUGGGGUGCAGUUUGUUAUUAUAGUAUAGUGGGGUGCAGUUUGUUAUUAUAGUAUAGUGGGGGUGCAGUAUGGUAUUAUAGUAUAGUGGGGUGCAGAAUGGUAUUAUAGUAUAGUGGGGUGCAGUUUGUUAUUAUAGUAUAGUGGGGGUGCAGUUUGUUAUUAUAGUAUAGUGGGGGUGCAGUAUGGUAUUAUAGUAUAGUGGGGUGCAGUGUGUUAUUAUAGUAUAGUGGGGGUGCAGUAUGGUAUUAUAUUAAAGCGGGGUGCAGUAUGUUAUUAUAUUAUAGAGGGGGUGCAGUAUGUUGGUAUAGUAUAGUGGGGUGCAGUUUGUUUUAUAGUAUAGUGGGGUGCAGUUUGUUAUUAUAGUAUAGUGGGGUGCAGUAUGUUGGUAUAGUGUAGUGGGGUGCAGUUUGUUUUAUAGUAUAGUGGGGUGCAGUAUGGUAUUAUAGUAUAGUGGGGUGCAGUAUGGUGGUAUAGUGUAGUGGGGUGCAGUAUGGUAUUAUAUUAUAGUGGGGGUGCAGUAUGGUAUUAUAGUAUAGUGGGGGUGCAGUAUGGUAUAGUAUAGUGAGGGGUGCAGUAUGGUAUUAUAGUAUAGUGGGGUGCAGUAUGUAUUAUAGUAUAGUGGGGGUGCAGUAUGUUGGUAUAGUGUAGUGGGGUUGCAGUUUGUUUUAUAGUAUGAGUGGGGUGCAGUAUGGUAUUAUAGUAUAGUGGGGUGCAGUUUGUUAUUAUAGUAUAGUGGGGUGCAGUUUGUUAUUAUAAUAUAGUGGGGUGCAGUUUGUUAUUAUAGUAUAGUGGUUGUGCAGUAUGGUAUUAUAGUAUAGUGGGGUGCAGAAUGGUAUUAUAGUAUAGUGGGGUGCAGUUUGUUAUUAUAGUAUAGUGGGGGUGCAGUAUGGUAUUAUAGUAUAGUGGGGUGCAGUAUGGUAUUAUAGUAUAGCGGGGUGCAGUAUGUUGGUAUAGUAUAGUGGGGUGCAGUAUGGUAUUAUAGUAUAGUGGGGUGCAGUUUGUUAUUAUAGUAUAAUGGGGGUGCAGUAUGGUAUUAUAGUAUAGUGGGGUGCAGUUUGUUAUUAUAGUUUAAUGGGGUGCAGUAUGUUAUUAUAGUAUAGUGGGGGUGCAGUAUGGUAUUAUAGUAUAGUGGGGUGCAGAAUGGUAUUAUAGUAUAGUGGGGUGCAGUAUGUUAUUAUAGUAUAUAGUGGGGGUGCAGUAUGUUGGUAUGGUGGUGGGGUGCAGUAUGGUAUUAUAGUAGUAUAGUGGGGUGCAGUAUGGUAUUAUUAUAGUAUAGUGGGGUGCAGUAUGGUAUUGUGUAUAAUGGGGUGCAGUAUGGUAUUAUAGUAUGAGUAAGGAGGUGCAGUAUGGUAUUAUAGUAUAGUGGGGUGCAGUAUGUUAUUUGGUAUAUGAGUAUGAGUAGGGUGCAGUUUGUUGUUUAUAUAGUAUAGUAGGGGUGCAGUAUGGUAUUAACAAUAUAGUAGGGGUGCAGUUUGUUAUUAUAUAUAGUAUAGUAGAGGGUGCAGUUUGUUAUUAUAAUAUGGUAGGGUGCAGUUUGUUAUUAUAGUAUAGUAGAUUUGUGCAGUAUGGUAUUAUAUAUGUAGUAUAGUGGGGUGCAGAAUGGUACAUUAUAGUAUAGUGGGGUGCUGAAAUAGUAUUAUAGUAUAGUGGGGUGCAGUUUGUUAUUAUAGUAUAGUGGGGUGCAGUUUGUUAUUAUAAUAUAGUGGGGUGCAGUUUGUUAUUAUAGUAUAGUGGGGGUGCAGUAUGGUAUUAUAGUAUAGUGGGGUGCAGAAUGGUAUUAUAGUAUAGUGGGGUGCAGUUUGUUAUUAUAGUAUAGUGGGGUGCAGUUUGUUAUUAUAGUAUAGUGGGGGUGCAGUAUGGUAUUAUAGUAUAGUGGGGUGCAGUUUGUUAUUAUAGUAUAGUGGGGGUGCAGUUUGUUAUUAGAGUAUAGUGGGGGUGCAGUAUGUUAUUAUAGUAUAGUGGGGGUGCAGUAUGUUAUUAUAGUAUAGUGGGGUGCAGUUUGUUAUUAUAGUAUAGUGGGGGUGCAGUAUGUUAUUAUAGUAUAGUGGGGGUGCAGUAUGGUAUUAUAGUAUAGUGGGGUGCAGUUUGUUAUUAUAGUGUAGUAGGGUGCAGUAUGUUGUUAUAGUAUAGUGGGGUGCAGUAUGGUAUUAUAGUAUAGUGGGGGUGCAGUUUGUUAUUAUAGUAUAGUGGGGGUGCAGUAUGGUAUUAUAGUAUAGUGGGGUGCAGUAUGGUAUUAUAGUGUAGUGGGGUGCAGUAUGUUGGUAUAGUAUAGUGGGGUGCAGUAUGUUGGUAUAGUAUAGUGGGGGUGCAUUAUGGUAUUAUAGUAUAGUGGGGUGCAGUAUUGUAUUAUAGUAUAGUGGGGUGCAGUAUGGUAUUAUAGUAUAGUGGGGUGCAGUUUGUUAUUAUAGUAUAGUGGGGGUGCAGUAUGGUAUUAUUGUAUAGUGGGGUGCAGUAUGUUGGUAUAGUGUAGUGGGGUGCAGUAUGGUAUUAUAGUAUAGUGGGGGUGCAGUAUGGUAUUAUAGUAUAGUGGGGGUGCAGUAUGGUAUUACAGUAUAGUGGGGUGCAGUUUGUUAUUAUAGUAUAGUGGGGUGCAGUUUGUUAUUAUAGUAUAGUGGGGUGCAGUUUGUUAUUAAUUAUAUAAAGUAUAGGCAGGUUUACUAUUUGAAUUAUAUAAUAAAGUCAUAUAAAGAUACACUGCAUGUGACUUACAUUUUUUUUCCAUCCUUUGUUUUCUCUCUAACACCAUUUUUCCAGCUUGUUUAGUGCAUUCUCUCCCAGUGUCUGCCUGCUUUGUAUUGCCAGCUUUCUAUGAGAGCAAAGAAGAGAAAGCCAGAAUUCAGUGUCUGUUGUGUAUAUUGACAUUGCAGGAUACAUUUAGACAAAAGGUGAUAAAGCAGUAACUUACAGUAUUAAGAUGUAUUUGCAGCAAAUUGUGCAUAAGGACCCAGUAAACAAUGCCCUGGGGGAUUUCUCUAUUUACUUACAGUCAGUGUGCACACAUCUCACAAAGCUGUGUCGAUGUGUGUGUUUACUGUGUGAUAUAGAAAGUAAUGUGUUUCAAUAGAACAGACAAUGUAACAGUGGAUUCCUGAAUAGGAGUAGCAGAAUGCAGACACAAAGGGGCUCCUAACUCCCCUGCAAUAAUGGUAUG